rnacentral:rRNA from 1 species
GACGAACCGUGCGAACGUUGUUCGGAAUCACUGGGCUUAAAGGGCGCGUAGGCGGGGUGGACAGUCCGUGGUGAAAUCCUCCGGCUCAACCGGAGAACUGCCGCGGAUACUGCCACUCUCGAGGGGUGUAGGGGCAUGCGGAACUUCGGGUGGAGCGGUGAAAUGCGUAGAUAUCCGAAGGAACGCCGGUGGCGAAAGCGGCGUGCUGGACACCUUCUGACGCUGAGGCGCGAAAGCCAGGGGAGCAAACGGG